rnacentral:rRNA from 1 species
GUGCCAGCAGCCGCGGUAACACCGGCAGCCCAAGUGGUGGCCGCUUUUAUUGGGCCUAAAGCGUCCGUAGCCGGCCAGGUAAGUCCCUGUGUAAAUCUUCAGGCUUAACUUGAAGAAUUGCGGGGAUACUGCUUGGCUUGGGGCCGGAAGACGUGGAGGGUACUCCGGGGGUAGCGGUGAAAUGCUGUAAUCCUCGGGGGACCACCAGUGGCGAAGGCUCUCCACGAGGACGGGCCCGACGGUGAGGGACGAAAGCCAAGGGCGCGAACGGGAUUAGAUACCCCGGUAGUCCUGGCCGUAAACGCUGCAGGCUUGGUGUUGCACGCUCUACGGGGGCGUGCAGUGCCGAAGCGAAGGCGAUAAGCCUGCCGCCUGGGAAGUACGCUCGCAAGAGUGAAACUUAAAUGAAUUGACGG